UAUAUAAUAGCACUGCUGGCUCAUUGGUACAUUUCAUAAGUACCUUAUCAAAUGUUCCAAUGGUCGGGCAGAGCUAUUAUUUGUCC
ensembl:ncRNA mir-985 mir-985 stem loop